AUUGAACGCUGGCGGAAUGCUUUACACAUGCAAGUCGAACGGCAGCACGAGGGCAACCUUGGUGGCGAGUGGCGAACGGGUGAGUAAUACAUCGGAACGUGCCCAGUCGUGGGGGAUAACGUAGCGAAAGCUACGCUAAUACCGCAUACGGUCUAUGGAUGAAAGCGGGGGACCGUAAGGCCUCGCGCGAUUGGAGCGGCCGAUGGCAGAUUAGGUAGUUGGUGGGGUAAAGGCUCACCAAGCCUGCGAUCUGUAGCUGGUCUGAGAGGACGACCAGCCACACUGGAACUGAGACACGGUCCAGACUCCUACGGGAGGCAGCAGUGGGGAAUUUUGGACAAUGGGCGCAAGCCUGAUCCAGCCAUUCCGCGUGCAGGAUGAAGG
rnacentral:rRNA from 1 species